CCUACGGGUAGCUGCAGUCGAGAAUCUUCGGCAAUGGACGCAAGUCUGACCGAGCGACGCCGCGUGCGGGAUGAAGGCCUUCGGGUUGUAAACCGCUGUCAGUGGGGAGGCCUAUCCGCAGAGGAAGUGAGGGCUAAGCUCGUGCCAGCAGCCGCGGUAAGACGAGCCUCACAAACGUUAUUCGGAAUUACUGGGCUUAAAGGGUGCGUAGGCGGCGUAGAAAGUUGGGUGUGAAAUCCCUCAGCUUAACUGAGGAAGGGCGCCCAAAACUACUAUGCUCGAGGGAGAUAGAGGAGUGCGGAACUUAGGGUGGAGCGGUGAAAUGCGUUGAUAUCCUAGGGAACACCGGUGGCGAAAGCGGCACUCUGGUCCUUCUGACGCUGAGGCACGAAAGCUAGGGUAGCAAACGGGAUUAGAUACCCCUGUAGUC
rnacentral:rRNA from 1 species